GAGUAGAUGAGGGUGUGGCAUGUGGGAGAAGCUUCGUGGAGAGUCUGCGGGGGAGGGGAGUGUAUGAUAGGCCACUCGUCUUCAUUUAUCCAUUUCUAAUAGGCCAUAGCUCUAGGCCCACGCUGUAUGGGUUUUCAAAAUUACCGGGCGUGGCUCGAACUCUCCUUUCAAAAAUGACUUGCCAUGGCAGCAUAGCUGCAGCGCCUCAAAGAAGCAGCAAUUGUUAGCAAUGGCUCGUCUGAUCCGGCAAUGGCCGUUUCUACGUAACCAUUGCUUCUGUCACGCUGCGUUCAACUACCUCCUCUCUGAAUCUUUAAUUUUAUCCAUCAAAGCCACCUCUCCUCAUCUCUCUCUCACUAUAGUUACAGCUUCUAAUCGUAACGCGCAUUUUCUAUCACGCGGUCCAGAAAAAACUUCUGAUUUUUGGACAAGGAGGAAAUGCAAGCGAUUCGGAUUCUGAAUCAUACAAAAGCCGCAAACAGAAAAAACGCGAGGCUCGACUUGCCAUUCGUUGGGGCAUGGAGCUGGCUUCUUCUUCUCCACCUCAAAUCAAACGCAUUAUCAAGUGAUGAACGCAAAUUAACUUCCCUUCUUUUUUUUCCCCCCAAAAUCACCAACGUUAAAGCUAUUCUUUGCAGUUUAAAUUGUGUCUUGCUUGGGAUUUUCUAGGGUGGCUUCACUUGAGAAAGACGUAUUCGAUGCGUAAUGUUAGUCAAGAGACCAGGACCGGAUGUGCGGCAAGGAAAGCGGAGGCAAUAUAAUUAUAUCGGUAGUGAGCUCUGUAUCUUUUAAACACUAUCCUUGAGUAACUUUUUUAAGAGAUUAUGGUUGGCUUAGCUAGCUACGUUGUCUGUGUUUGUGUUUUGCCUUGCUGUGAAAUAUGGGAUAUCAAGUUGAAGCAAAUGCGUGGAAGUAAUUAAUCUUAGCUUUGGUGCAUGCUAAUGCAUUUAAUGUUACUAAUCGUGGAACAAGACUUGUUGCGUAUUUAAUGAGAAAGAUGUUCGUUUCAUGGUGUGGCUUUUAUUUCUCUCAAUCAAGUAAACUGUGUGCCAUGCAAGAACAUCAUAGGUGUAUAUCUUGUCUUGUAGAGAAUCUUUAACAUCGAGUUUUAGCAUUAUAAAUGUGUUCUUAAAUCUUGAUUGCUAUGUGCAAUGUGUGGGUAGGGAAAUUGUUGCGGGAUGUACAAACUGAACUGAUGGAUGCUUUGAUUCAUGCCUACAGAAGAUGGUGAUUAAUGGAGUAGGCUGCAGGGAUUUUCUGGUUUGGAGGAAAAGAUUAUUGGCGAUGACAAUGAAGAAUCUGGAGAAAGCGAAUACGAUGUGGAAGAGGAGGCAUGGGGUCACACGAGUACAUUGAUAUAGCAACCAGUUGGUUCGGUGGCCUGAUUAACAGACAUAAAAGUUAUAUCAAUGAAGUUUAUGCACUUCGAAGCAUUGAUUUUGACAGUCAGGUCAGUGAAAUGUCACCCUAAGUGUAUCAGUUACUGCAUAUCAGAGUCGUUCAUGAGAUAUCUCUAACAAUGGGCUAACGAUUCCUACUGCGAGUUUGUUGAUGAAAACAUGUUGUUUGGAAAGAAAAAAGGGGGUGAGAAUUCAUAUAAAGCCACCACAUGAACCAUCACUCGGCUUUCUUUCUUCUUUUUUUCCCAACUGAAGAAAUAAAGAACUAUCAACAGGAGACUUUAUUGCUUCCCGGACGAUUACUUGGCUCUUGUGAACCCAGCGUAUUUAACCCUACACAUUCUACGCAUGCUUAUAUCAUUAUAUAGUCCAAGAAGCAGAGACCAUGGUCUGUCUGUAUAAUUUGUUGCAAGGAUGCCUUCAAGGGUAACGUUGAAUUGUUUAUCAUCUAUCUUUCCUAUGAUAGAAUGAUCUAUCAAGUAGGAACUACAUAAACAUGUGCGAAGAAUGCAUGCAGUUCAAGAACGCAAGGGAGUUGCAGAAGAAAAUGAGCAGGAAGUGGAAACUGCAAUCACAGCUGCCAAAAAUUCCCUCGCCCGUUUCCUCCAUGGCCUUGAUGAGCAAAUGCCGAGUGAAUCUAAUCAUAUUGAUUUGUAAUAUAAAUAAUUUUUUAUCAUUGCAUAUUUUCUCCACAAAGCGUCUAAUACGUGUCUCAUUGAUCUCAGCAAUUUAUACUGGGCACAACACUGACGAGCCACCUCAUAGAAUUAUAGACUAUAUAGCUUGGGCUUAGGCUCGUGGAUGUAAACACGGCUUGUAGAGUCAUAUCUUUUGCUUUUGAAGGCCAGGCCCAUUACCAUUCCCCUUUCCUUCCCUUUUCCCUUCAUUCCUUUUUGUUCUCCUUUGUUUUUUCAUUUUGGACGGUGAGAAACAUUGGGAGUCUGGGACUUGCAAAGCGUUGGACACUUGAGCUGAUGUAUAGACCUAAGAAAAGAGUCCUAGAUGGUCCGAUAUGCAUUUACUUGGAUAAACUUGCGUGGUUCUAUCUUUGCGCUAAGGGCUAUACCGCCACACAAGAAUGGUACUGGAUAAUUACUUAUUUACUUGAAGGAAAGAAUCAUCUUAAAAGCGUGCUAUCAUUGUGUCGUAUAUGGCCGUCCAGUACCUUUACUAAGUUUUAGUGAAGGU